rnacentral:lncRNA from 1 species
GUCGACUUUUUGCCUUCCACUGAAAAACCUACAGAGAAAACGCUGCCCCCAGCAAAACCCAGGUGCAAAACCUCCAACAUAACUCCUGCUAAAAUGAAAGGUUCUUCCUGCAGCGGCUUCAUCUGGGCCCCAUUAGUGGCAUGUGCUGUUAUUUUAAUGCUGUCUCUGGUUGUUGCCAUCCGUCGCUUUCAGCGCCUGCGCAGGAGACUGCGGCUUCACUUCAAGAAACAGUAAGUGCUCUUGGUUGCGUUCUGCAGCCCCGUACGCUGCAAAGAACACAGCUGUGCUUUUCUCAUGCGUGAGCUAGUGCUAACAAUCCCACGAGGUGCUGAGCACCUCCUGUAUGCUGCUGUGUGUCCUCAGCGCCUGGUAAAGUAAGUGGAAAUUGAGGACUCUCAGCACCUCACAGGAAGCACUCAACACCACACAGAAUUCAGUGUGUCUGUGCAACUCCUUCGACUCUGAUAAUGAAGGCAUCCCAUAGGAAAGGGAAGUAGUCUGUAUGUUUUCCCCUCUGGCUGCCUCCUGCAGGGUGGGUUAGUUUUCACCCCAUUAUUGCUAGGCCCAGAAAAGGCAUUUUCUCUUUGUUUUCUCCC